ensembl:snRNA U6 U6 spliceosomal RNA
GUGCUCACUUCAGCAGCACAUAUACUAAAAUUGGAACAAGAGUGAGAAGAUUAGCACGGCCUCUGUGCAAGGAUCACGUGCAACAUUGUGAAGCAUUCUGUGCUUUU